GAUGAACGCUAGCGGCAGGCCUAACACAUGCAAGUCGAGGGGGAAGUUACUUUCGGGUGACUGAGACCGGCGUACGGGUGCGUAACGCGUAUACAAUCUGCCUUUCACUGGGGGAUAGCCCGAAUAAAUUUGGAUUAAUACCCCAUAGUAUAUAGGGACGGCAUCGUUUUUAUAUUAAAGCUUAGGUGGUGAAAGAUGAGUAUGCGUUCUAUUAGCUAGUUGGAGAGGUAACGGCUCCCCAAGGCGAUGAUAGAUAGGGGUUCUGAGAGGGAUGUCCCCCACACUGGAACUGCGAUACGGACCAGACUCCUACGGGAGGCAGCAGUGAGGAAGACUGGACAAUGGUCGGAAGACUGAUCCAGCCAUGCCGCGUGCAGGAUGAAGGUCUUAGGGAUGGUAAACUGCUUUUGUAAGGGAAGAAUAAGGGAUACGCGUAGUUUGAUGACGGUACCUUACGAAUAAGCACCGGCUAACUCCGUG
rnacentral:rRNA from 1 species